rfam:Capsicum annuum cultivar Zunla-1 unplaced genomic scaffold scaffold170, whole genome shotgun sequence
UAAUCGUGGUGAGGAUAAUUUUUGAACAUGCCCUUAAAUCUUUCCCAAGCUUGGUAAAGAUUUUAUCUUUAUUUUUACUUAAAAUUCAAAAUCUCACUUCUCAAACA